rnacentral:tRNA from 1 species
UGGAGGAAUACCCAAGUCCGGCUGAAGGGAUCGGUCUUGAAAACCGACAGGCGGGUUAAACCGCGCGGGGGUUCGAAUCCCUCUUCCUCCGU